rnacentral:rRNA from 1 species
AGGACGAACGCUGGCGGCGCGCUUAAUACAUGCAAGUCGAGCGAGAACCAGGGCUUCGGCCCUGGGGACAGCGGCGAACGGGUGAGUAACACGUGGGUAAUCAACCCCCGACACCGGGAUAGCCCAGGGAAACUUGGAUUAAUACCGGAUGCUCCAUCUGGCUUUCGAGCCGGCUGGGAAAAGGGUAGCUUCGGCCUCCGGUCGGGGACGAGCCCGCGGCGGAUUAGCUUGUUGGUGAGGUAAAGGCUCACCAAGGCGACGAUCCGUAGC